rnacentral:tRNA from 1 species
GCUCCGGUGGUGUAGACCGGUCAAUCAUUCGAGCCUCUCGAGCUCGUGACCCGGGUUCAAAUCCCGGCCGGAGCA